rnacentral:lncRNA from 1 species
UUAUAUUCUUAUUCAAGGUUAGAUAGAUAGUAGAACAAGGGAUAAAACUAAAGAACAUAAACUAUAUUUCAUAAAUGCACAUGCUUCAAAAGCCAAUUACAUUAAUUAGCCUCCAAUCUAUUACUAGACAUAAUCACAUAGCACUAAAUUUAGAGAAAAGUGUAGAUUUUUGUUGUGUGAAAAGCAUAGUACAAGCAACCAGAGGUAGGUUUUGGAUGAAUUAUAUUUGAAGUCAUAUAUAUCUCACUACCUCAUCUUACACAUUAUGGUAUUUUGGUUUUUAUGUUUGCACAACUGCUUGUUGAUAAAAGUGAUGAAUUUUCUCUUCUAUAUUUAUUACUUUCAAGAUUUACAAUUUUCAGUUACUAGUCGGAACAUGCUUUGAUCUUCUUGUAUUAGUUUGUUAAGGAAUAUUCUAAGACUUAUAUAUCAGCUACAUCUAUAAUAUAUUUACACUUUCAAGACCCAACUUAAGUUUCUCCACUGAUUUUAAGUUGUCUUCAAGCUACCGAUAAAAAGGAAUAUGCUUUUGAUAAUAAUACUUUUGUUUAUUUUAUAUGCUUAUUCUCAUUAGUCACAUCUUGGAUUUUUAGAUGUUAAGACAUAGCUAGUGUUUUUUUUUUAUCCAAUAUUAUGUAUUGAAUCAAUUCCACCACCACUUUGAAAAUUUUGAAGAAGAAACAAAUUUAUGUAAUGCAAUUUUUAAUUCUAACCAUGGGAUAUUACAAUAACUUUCUAUGGUUGCCCGAUAGUUCCUCCGGUCAUUAUAUAAGAAGAAACUACAAAAAAAACACCCACACACACAAAGGCCGAGGAGUUUACUUAAUGUUAAAGAAUUAAAUGUUUUUUUAUUUAUUAUUAUAAGUAUUAAAUAUUCUAUUUUCAUUAUGUGAGUUUUAGUGAACAUAUACUAUUUCACAAAUAGGAGUAUAAAAAAAUUCUAACAAUUAGUGCACUUUACAACUAGUUAUUAUAAACUUAAGAGUUGAAUGGCUAUUCAUUCUCAAGUUGAGGCGAAACUCUUAAAGAUUUGUUUAGUUCAUAAGACGAAAAAGAGAAGAGGGGAAGGAUUUUAAUGAAGAGGAGGGAAGGAGAAACGUAUUUGGUUCAAAGGAAGAGAGGAGGAAAAAAGAUUUUAAUGGUUUUGACUUUUGUGUAUUGAUUGAGAGAUUUUAAAUGGUUUUUUAGAGCAUCUCUUUUUCUCUCCAAAUCCUCUCAAAAUGGAGAGUGAACAAAAAUCACUUUGUGAUGGGUUUUGUUUCCCUCCUCUCUAUCUCUUCCUAAAAAAUAAACCAAAUACACCUUUAAAAUAUUAUCUCAUCUCUUCUCUAUUUAUAUCCAACCAGACAUAGAGACAAAUUGAUAAGAAUGUUCAUACUUUAAUUAAGAGUUAAGUUAAGCCAGACGUUUGCAACACUUGCUCUAAGCCUUUUUUCGAUAUUCUGGCAUGUAUCAACUCUAUGAUGUUUAAUGAAAUGUUGUACUGUACUAGUAUUCUGUUAUUUAUAAAUAAAUAAAAAAUCCAAACAUAUCUAAUCAUGUAGGUUACUGUAGAAGCUAAUAUAUAAAAGUGGCAAAUUGUAAGAUAGAGUUCAAUUUAUGUGUAAUCUUUUUUAUUCAUGUAAAAAGAUAUAUUGAUAAAAAAACACAAAAUAAAAGCAUGUGACCAUUGGAUUACCCCAAAAGAGACAUCUCUUGCCUCCUUUGUCGUUAUUACUUAUUAUAGACUUGUUAGUUUUUAAUAAUUUUGCUAGUGCUUUCAAUGCUUAACUUGUCAAAAGUUGGUACCUGAAAAAUAUUAGCAUAUUUUUAUACUUAUUUGCUUAACACUGUUUUCUUUUAGAAGGUUUGCUUAACACUCUUGCACAAUACUCAAUCUUGUGCCUCAUUAAUUAUAGUAGUGAACACAAGUUAUUUCCUUGACUAACAUAAAAUGUUAUCAACUGCAAAAUCUGUUGUUAAAAGAGCAUCGAUGUAUGAUGCUAACAUUUUCCUCUGUCCCUUCCCUUGGCCAUGAGUGUAUCGAAUGAUAAUUAUUACAAUAUCAAACUCAUAUUUUAAAUAAACGAAGUUAGAAUUACUAUAUAAGAAAUUGCAAAUGAGCACAGGCAAACAUGAAGAUGUAUAUAUGCCCGAUGUGCACUUCUCCAUUUAAAAUAAUAUACUUCCUUUUGGUAAAAAGGAAAUUCACAUUUACAAACUACAAAAGAUUUACUGAUAGAUUUAAAACCGCCUACUGUAUUUGGAAACUUACCUAGCUAGAUUAGUUACUGUAAUCUAGAACUAUUUUUCAUAUAUUAAUAUAUGUUUUAAGUAGUUAGUUUCCCUCGCGCUGCCUGUCCUAAUUCCUUGUGAUUGCAUGAAAGUUCAUCGCUAUGAAAGUCUAACAAAAUAGGGAGAGUGAGUAUUUAAUGCAAAAGUUAAGACGCGAAAUCACAAGCUCGGAACACACUGUUCCCUCUGCAUUCCUACAUUGGAACGUGUGAUUUCGCGUCAAAAACGCCACCCUAAAUGCAUGCAAAACCUUUGUACAAAAGAAAUUUUUUAGGAGCCAAAUCUUAAGCAUCGUUACUUGGUUCUCCUUCUUGUCUUUUCCUUCAUUUCCUUCAUUGGUGUUGCGGGUUCAAGUUUUUUAGGUCCACCAAAAGCUUUCUUGAUGUGUAAGGUUUUCACUGAACAUGGGGAAUCCUCUUUACUACUAGGCUUCUUGGCUCCAUUUGAGAUUGCAAUAGCAGGAUUGCUGCCAUCAGCUGCCUCUGCAACAAUGAUCUUUCGGUUACCAGAGCGUACACUUCUGACAUUCAAAGAAGAAUCGUGAACAGGUAAUAUGAUAGAGUUAGAGACAUUAGCAUGCAUGACACUCCUACUGAAAAACUUGACAUUUUCCCUCAGCUUUUGUGUGACGAUGUCUCUCAGGAGUAGCGCAUAUUUAUAUUGCCGAGUGUUCUUGGAGUAGAAGACCAAAGCAUUGUUGGCCAGUAGAAGCAUGUCUCUGAAAAGUUCCAUC